rnacentral:rRNA from 1 species
CGUAAAGGGCGUGUAGGCGGCGAUGUAAGCCUGGUGUGAAAGACUUCAGCUUAACUGGAGAGCCGCGCUGGGAACUAUGUUGCUUGAGUAUAGGAGGGGGAGCUGGAAUUCCAGGCGUAGGGGUGAAAUCGGUAGAUAUCUGGAAGAACACCGGAGGCGAAGGCGAGCUCCUGGCCAUAUACUGACGCUGAGGCGCGAAAGCGUGGGGAGCGAACAGGAUUAGAUACCCUGGUAGUCCACGCUGUAAACGUUGUGCACUAGGUGUCGGACUUACGGGUUCGGUACCGAAGUUAACGCGAUAAGUGCACCGCCUGGGGAGUAUGCUCGCAAGGGUGAAACUCAAAGGAAUUGACGGGGGCCCGCACAAGCGGUGGAGCAUGUGGUCUAAUUCGAUGAUACGCGAGAAACCUUACCAGGGUUUGACAUAUAGCAGACGGUCGUAGAGAUACGGCUUCCCUUCGGGGCUGUUAUACAGGUGCUGCAUGGCUGUCGUCAGCUCGUGCUGUGAAGUGUUGGGUUAAGUCCCGCAACGAGCGCAACCCCUACUGUCUGUUACCAUCAUUAAGUUGGGGACUCAGACGGUACUGCCGGUGACAAACCGGAGGAAGGUGGGGAUGACGUCAAGUCAUCAUGGCCCUUAUGUCCUGGGCUACACACGUGCUACAAUGGCCGGUACAGAGCGCAGCAAAACCGCGAGGUGGAGCAAAUCGCAGAAAGCCGGUCUCAGUACAGAUUGGAGUCUGAAACUCGACUCCAUGAAGCUGGAAUCGCUAGUAAUCGCACAUCAGCAUGGUGCGGUGAAUACGUUCCCGGGCCUUGUACACACCGCCCGUCACACCACCCGAGUUGGGGGCACCCGAAGUCGCUCGUCUAACCGGCAACGGAGGACGG